GACGAACGCUGGCGGCGUGCUUAACACAUGCAAGUCGAACGGAAAGGCCCUGCUUUUGUGGUGUGCUCGAGUGGCGAACGGGUGAGUAAUACGUGAGUAACCUGCCCUUGACUUUGGGAUAACUUCAGGAAACUGGGGCUAAUACCGGAUAGGAGCUCCUGCGGCAUGGUGGGGGUUGGAAAGUUUCGGCGGUUGGGGAUGGACUCGCGGCUUAUCAGCUUGUUGGUGGGGUAGUGGCUUACCAAGGCUUUGACGGGUAGCCGGCCUGAGAGGGUGACCGGCGACAUUGGGACUGAGAUACGGCCCAGACUCCUACGGGAGACAGCAGUGGGGAAUAUUGCACAAUGGGCGGAGGCCUGAUGCAGCAACGCCGCGUGCGGGAUGACGGCCUUCGGGUUGUAAAACGCUUUCGCCUGUGACGAAGCGUGAGUGACGGUAAUGGGUAAAUAAGCACCGGCUAACUACGUG
rnacentral:rRNA from 1 species